ensembl:lncRNA
AGUAAAAAUGAAGAUUCUUCUUUUUCUCUCUUUUGCUUGUUUCAACAGGAGCUAAUACACCCCAAAGGCUCUUUUAAGAGCUACAGCACUGAGCAUAUUUGGUUUUAUCAGCCGUCAGUGGCUAUGGAUGCUAGCCAAGACCAACUGGGAUGCUAUUUGUUGCCGUUUUUGUUGCCAUAUUUUCAUGAUAUGUGCUUUGAUUUGAUAUGAAUUCAGUUCUCUCUCUCUCUCUCUCUCUCUCUCUCUCUCUCUCUAUAUAUAUAUAUAUAUAUAUAUAUAUAUAUAUAUAUAUAUAUAUGACAUUCAUGUAAAAUAUUGAAAGGUUUUGUAAUAAAUAGUGUAAUAUAAAUUACAGUAAAUUACUGUAAUAUUAUUAUACCUUAUAAUAUAAUAUAAAGCUAAGUAACAGUCAGGCGCGCUGGAAGCUGUUUCAUGCGGGGGGGGCUGAGGGCUGGGUUGGAAAAUAUGUGACGUCAUUAUGUUGUGACUGACGACAUGAAAUUUCUCUACUAGUCUUCUCCCCUGGCGUGAUUGUUACUGUUUUAUACACAAAAAUUGUAGCCUACUUGAUGUACUUGUACUUUGAUGUUUAAUAAAAAUAAAUAAAUAAAAAAAUAAUAAAAAAAAAAUCUCUGUACUGUUUAGGCUAUGUGUUGUAGCCAUUAAAGAAAACAUAUUUGGUUUCAUAUUUGUUUAAAUAUUAUAGGCUAAUGUAAUUUUUUUAUUUAUUUAAUCAAUGUUUAUUAUGAAAGUGAGCAUGCAGCAUGAGAAAGAUAUGAUACAUCAUGCGCAAUAGCCUAUGAGACAUGGAGUGGGUAAGACAUGAUUUUGACCACUUUAUUCAGUUUUGUUUUGUAGAAAGACUCUGUUUAAAAGAUUUUCGUUUUGUAUAAAUUGUAUCUUAAUUUUGAUCAAUAUUUUAUCAACCCAUUGCCUGUAUUUAAUAAACAAGCAAAUAUAUUAGCAGACAAUGUAAUAAGGUGCCAGCACAUCACUUGUAUUGCACGUGAACUGGAGGGCGCAGAAACACAGCUUGUGCCUCACAGACAGUUUUGAGAAAUAUAGGCUAUCUAUUAUAGAAAGCUUAAAAAUGUCUACUUUUAAACGAAAAUAUUCAAAACGAAAAGAAAUAGGCUACUCUCUGAAUAUGUAGGCCUAAUCCAUAUGAAAUGUGCAUUUCUCUCUGGCGUUCAUGGCGAGUCCGCAUCGUCUUUGCAGCGACACAGAAAUAUUAAAAUAAUUAAUCAUUAGUUUAUAUCUUAUACACUAUAUCUUAAUCCCACAUUAAACACAUUGUUAUGUCUGUUUUUUAUUUUUUUUUAUUUUUUUCACGUUUUUAAGUACAAUAUUAGGUUAAUCCACAGCCCCCCACCAGGGGGGGCUGAUGCUAUGACGAGGGGGGCUGCAGCCCCCGCAGCACCCCCCUUCCCGCGCCAUUGGUAACAGUAAGUAUAUAGUACUGUAAAAUUAAAUCGUGGUAAGAGCGUUAUACUGUAAAAUGUAAUUGUGGUAAGCUACUCUAAAGAGGCAGUUACAUUAGCAAAAUUACAAUAAAAAGUCUAACAUGGAUUGUCAGUGGAGGGACAGAAAUCUUCCAGAGAAGUAAGUUUGGCCAGUUUGGAAUGACUUGAGCGUGUGUUAAUGAUGACAUUAUUAUUAUACGCUGAGCGUAUCCCAUUUACUGAAUAAAGAGUGUGCCUAUUUGCUUGUGCAAUCUUAACAGUCAUGUGCAUGUGUGUGUGCUCCUGAGCUUUUCAUUGUGGAUUUACUAAGAAUAGUUGCAUAAUGUGUCAGAUUCUUGAAGCUCAGGGUUUGACAGAACAUGUUGAAACAUGCUUUACACUUAUAUUUGCAAUUAUGUGGAGCAGGAUUUUUUACCAAUGAGAUUGCAGAGUGAGUGGCACUUCCUAGCAUGAUGCAACAGAAAGUGAUCUGAUUUCUGAGUUGAUAAAAAUUGAUGCUUCGGGAAUCGAAACCUUGCACUUUGUGUGUUGAAUGAUCCUAUUGCAUCUGAUUGUCUGUAAAGUCACAUAUUUAUUUGUCACUUAAAAACGUCUCACUCAUUUUAUGUAACAUCUUGGCUUUGCAUUAUAUUUUCCUUUAUUUUCUGUAAUUGUACAAUGGAAUUUUAAAUUUAGGCAUACUUAUUUCUCUGACACUGGUCAUAUGACUACAGCAGACUCACACCUAUAUGUUUACAGAUUAAUCAGGUUCAAAGUUUUCAUUAUAACUAAAGCGACAUUAUAGGGGUCGAUGCAACAUCAGUAGGGGAAGUCGUGGCCUAGUGGUUAGAGAGUUUAAGUCCUAACCCUAAGGUUGUGGGUUCGAGUCUCGGGCCGGCAAUACCACGACUGAGGUGCCCUUGAGCAAGGCACCGAACCUCGAACUGCUCCCCGGGCGCUGCAGCAUAAAUGGCUGCCCACUGCUCCGGGUGUGUGUUCACUGCUGUGUGU